UACGGAGGGUGCUAGCGUUGUUCGGAAUUACUGGGCGUAAAGCGCGUGUAGGCGGCCCGCUAAGUCUGAUGUGAAAGCCCGGGGCUCACCCCCGGAAGUGCAUUGGAGACUGGCGGGCUCGAGUCCCGGAGAGGAGGGUGGAAUUCCUGGUGUAGCGGUGAAAUGCGUAGAUAUCUGGAGGAACACCGGUGGCGAAGGCGGCGUUCUGGACUGUUUCUGACACUGAAUAACGAAAGCCAGGGGAGCAAACGGG
rnacentral:rRNA from 1 species